UACGUAGGGUGCAAGCGUUGUCCGGAAUUAUUGGGCGUAAAGAGCUCGUAGGCGGCUUGUCGCGUCGGCUGUGAAAACCUGGGGCUCAACCCCGGGCCUGCAGCCGAUACGGGCAAGCUAGAAUUCGGUAGGGGAGACUGGAAUUCCUGGUGUAGCAGUGAAAUGCGCAGAUAUCAGGAGGAACACCGGUGGCGAAGGCGGGUCUCUGGGCCGAUAUUGACGCUGAGGAGCGAAAGCGUGGGGAGCAAACAGG
rnacentral:rRNA from 1 species